rnacentral:rRNA from 1 species
AGAGUUUGAUCAUGGCUCAGAACGAACGCUGGCGGCGCGCCUAAUACAUGCAAGUCGAACGAGAAUGUGUAGCAAUACACAUGUACAGUGGCGAACGGGUGAGGACUACAUGGGUAACCUACCCUCGAGUGGGGAAUAACUAGCCGAAAGGUUAGCUAAUACCGCGUACGCUUCCCGGACUGCGGUUCGGGAAGGAAAGCGAUACCGUGGGUAUCGCGCUCUUGGAUGGGCUCAUGCCCUAUCAGCUUGUUGGUGAGGUAACGGCUCACCAAGGCUUCGACGGGUAGCUGAUCUGAGAGGAUGAUCAGCCACACUGGCACUGCGACACGGGCCAGACUCCUACGGGAGGCAGCAGUAAGGAAUAUUGCGCAAUGGGCGAAAGCCUGACGCAGCGACGCCGCGUGGGGGAUGAAGGUCUUCGGAUUGUAAACCCCUUUCGGGAGGGAAGAUGGGAUGGGGUAACCCAUUCGGACGGUACCUCCAGAAGCAGCCACGGCUAACUUCGUGCCAGCCGCCGCGGUAAUAC